rnacentral:rRNA from 1 species
AUUGAACGCUGGCGGCAGGCUUAACACAUGCAAGUCGAACGGUAGCAGGAGAAAGCUUGCUUUCUUGCUGACGAGUGGCGGACGGGUGAGUAAUGCUUGGGAAUCUGGCUUAUGGAGGGGGAUAACGACGGGAAACUGUCGCUAAUACCGCGUAUUAUCGGAAGAUGAAAGUGCGGGACUGAGAGGCCGCAUGCCAUAGGAUGAGCCCAAGUGGGAUUAGGUAGUUGGUGGGGUAAAGGCCUACCAAGCCUGCGAUCUCUAGCUGGUCUGAGAGGAUGACCAGCCACACUGGAACUGAGACACGGUCCAGACUCCUACGGGAGGCAGCAGUGGGGAAUAUUGCGCAAUGGGGGGAACCCUGACGCAGCCAUGCCGCGUGAAUGAAGAAGGCCUUAGGGUUGUAAAGUUCUUUCGGUAUUGAGGAAGGUUGAUGUGUUAAUAGCACAUUAAAUUGACGUA